rnacentral:lncRNA from 1 species
GCCAAACGAGUUAUUGUUGCUAGUGGGCUGGGUCGUUAUAUUUGGUAUCAGAGCCGGUUCACCAGCUGGACAUGUGUGGCGAGUCUCGGCUUAGCCAGGGUCUGGAUGACGGGCUAGCGAGACGAGUCUCACAUCGCCUGGUGAUCUUGGGCUGUGAGUCUGAUUGGACUGACGAGGACGUCAGGGCCUUAAAGGAGGGGAGACUGUGACACCCCAGAUAGUCCUACACAUAAGAUAUAAUAGGGCUAAACUCUUAACCCGGCUUAAGCAUUUUGGGUGGUGACAAGAGACCAAGACACUAGUAAUAAGAACUGAGCUUAAGCAUGCUAGGACGGUGAGUAGGCCAAACGAGUUAUGGGUGACCCACUGGGAAGCUGGGGCGCCACAGAUGGUAUCAGAGCCGGUUCACCAGCUGGACAUGUGUGGCGAGUCUCGGCUGAGCCAGGGUCUAGAUGACCGGCUAGCGAGACGAGUCUCACAUCGCCUGGUGAUCUUGGGCUGUGUGUGUGAUUGGACUGACGAGGACGUCAGGGCCUUAACGGGGGGAGUCUGUGACACCCCAAUAGUCCCACAUCGGAUGGGAAAGGGGUUGUCAUUGGGUUUAUAAGAGACUUAGACACUAGUAAUAAUAACUGGGCUUAAGCAUUUUGGGCCG